rnacentral:rRNA from 1 species
AUUGAACGCUGGCGGAAUGCUUUACACAUGCAAGUCGAGCGGCAGCGCGGGGGCAACCUGGCGGCGAGCGGCGAACGGGUGAGUAAUGCAUCGGAACGUACCCAGUCGUGGGGGAUAACUGUCCGAAAGGACAGCUAAUACCGCAUACGUCCUGAGGGAGAAAGCGGGGGAUCGCAAGACCUCGCGCGAUUGGAGCGGCCGAUGCCGGAUUAGCUAGUUGGUAGGGUAAAGGCCUACCAAGGCGACGAUCCGUAGCUGGUCUGAGAGGACGACCAGCCACACUGGAACUGAGACACGGUCCAGACUCCUACGGGAGGCAGCAGUGGGGAAUUUUGGACAAUGGGGGCAACCCUGAUCCAGCCAUUCCGCGUGAGUGAAGAAGGCCU